rnacentral:misc_RNA from 1 species
UCCGGCUUGACGCCGGCAGUCCCCCGAGAGUCCUCAGCUUUACCUGUAUAGGACCCUUACGGACCCCCCAUCUCUGGAGGAUUUCCCUAUAUGUCAAACCCAGGUAAGGUUCUUCGCGUUGCAUCGAAUUAAUCCGCAUGCUCCGCCGCUUGUGCGGGCCCCCGUCAAUUCCUUUGAGUUUUAGCCUUGCGGCCGUACUCCCCAGGCGGGGCGCUUAAUGCGUUAGCUGCGGCACGGAGGACGUGGAAUGUCCCCCACACCUAGCGCCCAACGUUUACGGCGUGGACUAC